GCAGACAGUCUGCAGAGAUCAGCGUGUGGAAACAAGAGCUGGAGAUUCACACAGAGUGAGGAAAGUGUUUAUCCUGUGGAGAGAAGCCUUGCUGUCUAAAUUGUCAAAUCAGAAUGUUAACUCUCAUCUGGGUGAUUCUGCUCCUCGCUGACAAAGGUUCUGGGACUCAGUGUUCAAACAGCAACAGCAGUAUCACACUAAGUAAAAAGAAAUGUAUCAGCACAGGCUGGAUUGUGUGUUGUUUUACCAUGUCCUUUUACUACAGACGAUGGUGAUUUUGAAAGUAUAACUUGGUAUAAACAUGAUGGAAACGUAAAUAAAACAAUAUUUGACUCCAGUAACAAUACGAAAGCUGACUCUGAGUUUAAAGGGAGGGUGUCACUGUUUGAGUCUGACCUGAAAAAUAAGAACUGCAGCAUCAUCAUCAAUGAUCUCACCAAGUCGGACUCUGGAUCAUAUCAAGUUGUUUUUAAGACAGAGACUCCCUGCACAUUGAUUUCUGAUGCAAACGUCACAGUCACAGUUACAGAGCUGAGUGAAAGGCCCACACUGGAGAUUCCUGAAAUAACAGAGGGACAGCAGACUACACUGACCUGCAGCGCUCCUGGUCUCUGCAAUGGAUCCACAAUCACCUGGAUAUGGAGUGGAUCAGGACAAAGCGUCUAUGAAAUCAAAGAAAACAACACUGAAUUCAAGUCUAAGAAUCAGACUGGUUUCAAGUCAACUCUGACCUUUAACGCUUCGGCUAAACACAACGGUGGGCAGGUCACCUGUAAGGUCACCUUCAAAAGUGUCACAACAAAUGAGACAAAAACUCUUAAUGUCAAGUAUGCACCAAGAAUCUUGAAUGACUCUAAUUGUAGUGCUCAGUCAAAGGUUUUGACCUGUGUGUGUAUCAGUGAGGGGUUUCCUUCACCCACCAUCAAAUGGCCACACUUGGAGAGCCACACUGAGUACUGUGUAACAACCAAUGUGUCAAACACCAGAGUCACCAGCACCAUCACUGUGUCCCACGAUCACUGUCAGAACACCACUAUUGAAUGUGUCAGCAGUAAUAGUAUUAGAAAUACCUCAUCAAAUGUCAGCCUUAUAAUAAAGGAGUGCAAUGUUAAUUCAUCAUCAUCUGAAGAAAAAAAUAACAAUCUUUACAAACAAGACCCGAAAGUUAUCGCUGCAACAUUGAGGGGCUUUCUGAUUUGUCUUAUUGGGAUCAUUCUUUCAGCAGUCGUUGCUUUUUUGGUAACAAAAUCCAACAGAAAAAACUGGAGGAGGUCUGAAAACCUGGAGACUGUGACCACUGAAGCAGUACCAAUGCUGGAUGCUGAUCAAACAACAGUAUAAGAUGGGAUCCAUGAGCGAGAGGCAGCUGAAGGAGAAACAUAGUCAUGUGAGAACGCAUCGCUGGUGCCGAUGAUGACAUGGCACCAAAGAGGUGGAGAACGUUGACAAUGACGUCUUGCAGUAAAAACCAGGAAGGAGAGAAGAAACAGAAUAUGCUGAAAUAAAGACAGAAAAAAGGGACAAUGAUGAUCAUGUGUUGUUGCAGCACUUACAAAAAAGGAAAAUCAUUCAGAUAUUAGGCUGUGCUGUUUAAUGCAGUCUAAAUAAAACAAUAACAGGGUUUCUAAUAUAGAUGUAGAUCCUGGCAAAGAGGUUUUCAUAAAACACACUCUCGUGUGAUGGCUCCUUGUAAGUGACAGUUCUUAGUGGGGAUUAGCUAAAGAUAUCAAGACAUGCAAUCUUAAUGUAAUACUAUGCUACUCCACUUCAUUUAAUACAAGGAAACUUUGAGGUGUCAACUAUACUGUGUAAUAAAUGUAACAAAUCUACAUAUUAACUCCAACUUCAACAAAAGCAUAACCAAAGUGAAACAGUGUGAAUCUUUGUGGAGACGUUCUUGUAUGCAAAAAAAGCAUCUGUACAUUUCACACAUGUCUGUAUACUGUAUCAGGCAAAAUCAGUAGCUUCAUGUA